rnacentral:ncRNA from 1 species
NNNNNNNNNNNNNNNNNUUGCAGUUAAAAAGCUCGUAGUUGGAUUUCAUGCGGGGUUUCACGGUGUGUGGGUGGGGGAGGGUGUGUUUUACUUGCCCCGCACUGUUUGCGCUCUGCAGUUUAAUAUUCCCUGGUGGCGCCUUUGGCGCGUGCCCUUGAUUGGGUGUGUGUCAAGUCACGUAGUGGUGGGGCGCUGUUGGGGGCUUUACUUUGAAAAAAUUAGAGUGUUCAAAGCAGGCAGUCAUUUGAUUUGCUUGAAUAGAUUAGCAUGGAACAACGGAAGAGGACUUUUGGGCCUGUACUGUUGGCGUGUGGUGCGGGGGUGUGGAGUGAGAAACCGCAAGGUUUUCUUAUUCCUCCCUCACCACAUCGGGUCUGAAGUAAUGAUUAAUAGGGACGGUUGGGGGCACUGGUAUUUCGUUGUCAGAGGUGAAAUUCUUGGAUUUACGAAAGACCGCCGACUGCGAAAGCAUUUGCCAAGGACGCUUUCAUUGAUCAAGAACGAAAGUUAGGGGAUCGAAGACGAUUAGAUACCGUCGUAGUCUUAACCAUAAACGAUGCCGGCCAGGGCUCGGUGGGCAGCACAAAUGUUUCAAAGCAUGGUGGCGCCAUCGGGACCUUUAGGGAAACCAAAGCGUUUGGGUUCCGGGGGGAGUAUGAUCGCAAGAUUGAAACUUAAAGGAAUUGACGGAAGGGCACCACCAGGAGUGGAGCCUGCGGCUUAAUUUGACUCAACACGGGGAAACUCAGGGUUAGGGUUAGGGUUAGGGUUAGGGUUAGGGUUAGGGUUAGGGUUAGGGUUAGUUAGGGUUAGGGUUAGGGUUAGGGUUAGGGUUAGGGUUAGGGUUAGGGUUAGGGUUAGGGUUAGGGUUAGGGUUAGGGUUAGGGUUAGGGUUAGGGUUAGGGUUAGGGUUAGGGUUAGGGUUAGGGUUAGGGUUAGGGUUAGGGUUAGGGUUAGGGUUAGGGUUAGGGUUAGGGUUAGGGUUAGGGUUAGGGUUAGGGUUAGGGUUAGGGUUAGGUUAGGGUUAGGGCACGCGAACGUCAGCGCGCAUGAACGGACGUACAGGGUGAGGAGAACGGUACCGAGCAUGUCGUGGGUGAGGU